CACGGGGUUGCGAGCGUUGUCCGGAAUUACUAGGCGUAAAGGGCAGGCAGGCGGAUCCAUAAGUUUAUCGUUUAAGGCGUCGGCUUAACCGGCGUAGGGCGAUAGAUACUGUGGAUCUGGAAUGCGGUUGGGGAAGACAGAAUUCCUGGUGUAGCGGUGGAAUGCGCAGAGAUCAGGAGGAAUACCGAAGGCGAAGGCAGUCUUCCAAGCCGUUAUUGACGCUCAACUGCGAAGGUGUGGGUAUCAAACAGGAUUAGAUACCCUGGUAGUCCCU
rnacentral:rRNA from 1 species